GAUAUCUGCACAGCCGUGGCCUAAUGGUAAGGCGUUGCUUUCCGGUGGCAAAGAUUGUGGGUUCGAGUCCCAUCGGUGUCG
rnacentral:tRNA from 1 species